GACCUGGGCCCGGGAUGGGGGGCGGGCACUCACAAAGGCCCGGGUUGUGUGGGGGCCCGGGGGCUGCCCCCGCCGCUCUCGACUCAAAGCCCGUCCUGCGCACCCACUCGCCAGGCGCGGGGUGUCCGGGGUAGAGACCAGCUGUCAUCUCUGUUCUGGGGUCACGGCCUGGGAUGCGCAGCCCCCACCCCGCGCCCCGCAGACCCUACGGCGCUUGCGGGCCGCAAUGCGCACUCCGCUCGAGGGGGUCUGAACCGAGACGGAUGGUCGGGCGCUCCCGCCCGCUCCAGGUCUGGAGGGUUGGACACUGAGAGGGGUACGGGGUGGGGGAGCCCCCCAGAAGCGCGCCUGAGGAUCCCGGGCCUCAGUGAGACUGGGGAGGGGGCCGAGCGGGAGACGGAGACCCUGACCGCCGCCACCUCGCCCCGGCGUCCGAGGGCCUACGGGGGUGGGGUGGGGAGAGCCCCCCCCCCCCCACCGCGAGCCUGGCUCUUGGCGCCCGGUAAGCCUCUGCCCCUUCCCGACCUCGCCCCCCGGCUCAGGAGAGAACCCACGAGUGGAGGCUGCGGGGAGCGUUCCCAGCGGGUGGGGGCUGUCGCGAGGGGCAUCCCGCGUUAGGGGCCCCCGGGAGGGCCCAGCUCCAGCGGGGGCGCCGGCCCAGGACGGCGCUGCGCGGGCUGUGCUGCCGCCCUGCGGCCGCGGCGUGCACUGCGCCACAAGCCCCGGGGUCCCAGGGUCCCCGGCAAGCACUACCCCGCAGGCCGUUCGCCGCGCCCACGCGUACACUCCCGGCCUGCUGAGGACACCCUGGAGGCCGCCCCAGGUCUGCGGAAGGGGCAGGUCUGUGGGACUCCCCACGAACACCCUGGGAACGAGGGCCCAACAGGAAACCCCAACGAGGAAACCAAGCCCGAGACACCCCAUGAACCCUCCAGCCAGAUCGGACAAAAUCCAAACCCGCAGUGGCCUUAACUAGACACAAUGUAUCUCUCAACGGAGAAGUCGGAGUGGGUGGUCCGGGGUGGGUGCGGCCUCACUGGCCAGGCCCCUCCGAUGCCCUGGGCUCUGCGGGGUUUCGACCACAUGGCUCGGAACGCGGCCCGUCAAGUCCGCGUUCCUGCCAACAAACGGGAAGAACUAGCGCUUGGAGCCUCUCCUACAGGAUCACUUCCCGGAGAGGAGUCGGCCUCAUCUGCUCACACCCCAUUGGCUAGGGCAUUGUCACAUGACCAGCCUCGCUGCAAGGGAGACUGGGAAAUGUAGUCUCUAGUCAGUGCAGCUCCCUGGUUAAAUGGGGUCAUAGAGAAAGAAAGGCUGGUAAUUUGGAGGUGGGUAGGCGGGUAGCAGCCAGUGCCUGCCUUGGUGACAUCAACAUCGUCCAGGCCAUGUUGUCAGGUGACAGGAAACAAAGGCAAAAGAAAAAUUAUACUUCCUUACUGAUGUAGGAAAGACGUUAGGGUUCAAAACCUACGGCCAAGAAAGAAUUCUUGAGAUGUCUUUGGUGCAAAAAGGUGAUUUUUGUAAACCAUGGGAACAAGACCCAUGGGCAGAAAGAGCUGCACUGGGGUCAUGAGGAUCGCCCCGUUACAUACUCUCAAGAUGGGAGGGGGUUAAGGGUAGAAUAAGUCUCUAAGGGAUUUUGGAAGCAAGAGUUUCAGGACAUUGAGAGGGUUCGCUAUUGUUGGGAAAAGGUCAUUUAUUACCAUCUAAUAAAACCUUAGUCGUGAGACCCUGGAGAUGUCUAUUGGUGGGCCCUAUGGGGGAUGAUUGACAAAACGUAUGUUGGGGGUUUUAGAGAUAAAGGAAGUUUCCAAAGGAAUUUUUUUACUUUAAAGUAGACUUACAGGAUCGUGGGCAGAGAGGUGAGGGGAGUCAGGCCAGGAUCGCCUUUUGCCCUCAGCAAAGUAUUAACAGGGAGGCAGCUGAGUCCCUAGAGGAGGGUCACUCUCCUGUUUCAAGGACUUGUCAAUGGGCCAUAAGGCCUUGUUUCUUCUGCCUUUGUUUCCUAGAUCACUUACUACUUACAGUUUGCUCAGGGAGCAAGGCUGCUUGUCCUUCUGCCUGCCACUCCCCCUGCUCGUGCUCUCUCGCUCUCUCGCUCACCCUCUGACAAAUCAACAAAAUCUUAAAACAACAACAAAAACACCUUUCUGCACCAAACACGUCUCAGGAACCCUUUCCUGACUGUUUGCUCCGAACCCCAACAUUUCCUACCAUCAGGCAGACCUGUCGGUGUUUCGUGCUGUGUCUUGUCUUCCCCAGAUGCAAACACAUCCAGCACCGAAGGCUUGGAAGUCUGUGUGGCACGACCUUCUAGGGACUAACACUGUCCAACGAUGGACAGAACAGAAAGAGAACAGGGGCGCACCUGAGCACGGAGAGAACCAGCCUUGGGCUGCACCGGGAUCUCCGCUCCCAGCAGGGCCCAGCCUACCGCACGCCGAGGGGACGGGAGAGGCAGGAUGCUGGCACGUGGGGCGUGGGUACCGAUGGGUCUAGUAAGGCUAGGUCAAGGGUGCCCUCUGGUCCUAUUUUCCACGGCAGAGCCUGCACUACGGAGUUUGCGUGGAGCGGGCAAACUGCAACGCUUGGGUAGCCAGCAGGAGAGCGAGCCCCUUUCAGAGGCUCAGGAAGGCCCUCAAGAAGGCUCCACUGCCCGCACAGGAGAGAAAGGGCGGUGCGCAGUUGUGCCCAGCCCUUUGGCCCAAAGGCCCGGUUCCCUUCAGCUCCGCCUCCCUCUCCCUUCUGGGGAGGAAAGUAAUGACUAACCCGGCACAUUGACUUGCCAAGGUCAUGUUGUUAAUAAACGACUCCUUCUCAAG